rnacentral:rRNA from 1 species
AAUCUUCCACAAUGGGCGAAAGCCUGAUGGAGCAACGCCGCGUGAGUGAAGAAGGUUUUCGGAUCGUAAAACUCUGUUGUAAGGGAAGAACAAGUACAGUAGUAACUGGCUGUACCUUGACGGUAUCUUAUUAGAAAGCCACGGCUAACUACGUGCCAACAGCCGCGGUAAUACGUAGGUGGAAAGCGUUGUCCGGAAUUAUUGGGCGUAAAGCUCGCGCAGGCGGUCCAUUAAGUCUGAUGUGAAAGCCCACUGCUCAACCGUGGAGGAUCAUUGGAAACUGGGGGACUUGAGUGAAGAAGAGGAAAGUGGAAUUACAAGUGUAGCAGUGAAAUGCGUAGAGAUUUGGAGGAACACCAGUGGCGAAGGCGACUUUCUAGUCUGUAACUGACGCUGAGGCGCGAAAGCGUGGGGAGCAAACAGG